rnacentral:rRNA from 1 species
UGGGGAAUAUUGGACAAUGGGCGAAAGCCUGAUCCAGCAAUGCCGCGUGAGUGAUGCAGGCCUCAGGGUUGUAUAGCUCUUUUACUCGGGAUGAUAAUGACAGUACCGGGAGAAUAAGCUCCGGCUAACUCCGUGCCAGCAGCCGCGGUAAUACGGAGGGAGCUAGCGUUGUUCGGAAUUACUGGGCGUAAAGCGCGCGUAGGCGGUUUUUCAAGUCAGAGGUGAAAGCCCGGGGCUCAACCCCGGAAUUGCCUUUGAAACUGGAAGACUUGAAUCUUGGAGAGGUCAGUGGAAUUCCGAGUGUAGAGGUGAAAUUCGUAGAUAUUCGGAAGAACACCAGUGGCGAAGGCGACUGACUGGACUAGUAUUGACGCUGAGGUGCGAAAGCGUGGGGAGCAAACAGG